GUGCCAGCCGCCGCGGUAAUACGGAGGGUGCGAGCGUUAAUCGGAAUUACUGGGCGUAAAGGGCGCGUAGGCGGUCGCGCAAGUCGGGUGUGAAAGCCCCGGGCUCAACCUGGGAAUUGCAUUCGAUACUGCGUAACUAGAGUCUGGUAGAGGGAAGCGGAAUUCCGCAUGUAGCGGUGAAAUGCGUAGAUAUGCGGAGGAACACCAGUGGCGAAGGCGGCUUCCUGGACCAAGACUGACGCUGAGGCGCGAAAGCGUGGGGAGCAAACAGGAUUAGAUACCCUGGUAGUCCACGCCCUAAACGAUGAGGACUAGACGUUGGGGGGAUAAAACCCCUUAGUGUCGCAGCUAACGCGUGAAGUCCUCCGCCUGGGGAGUACGGCCGCAAGGUUGAAACUUAAAUGAAUUGACGG
rnacentral:rRNA from 1 species